UAUGUGAUCGUCUCUCAGCAUAUCAAUAAGCGGAGGAAAAGAAACUAACAAGGAUUCCCCUAGUAACAGCGAGUGAAGCGGGAAGAGCUCAAAUUUGAAAUCUUAAAGGGUUUCUCUUUACGAAUUGUAGUUUAAAGAAGUGUUUUCUGUUGAGGUUUUGGUAAAAGUUCUUUGGAAUAGGACAUCAUAGAGGGUGAGAAUCCCGUAUUUGACCUUUACUUUCAACUUUGUGAUACACUUUCAAAGAGUCGGAUUGUUUGGGAAUGCAGUCCAAAAUGGGUGGUAAAUUUCAUCUAAAGCUAAAUAUUGGCGAGAGACCGAUAGCGAACAAGUACCGUGAGGGAAAGAUGAAAAGAACUUUGAAAAGAGAGUUAAACAGUACGUGAAAUUGUCAAAAGGGAAGCGUUUGACACCAGUGUUGUUUUUCUGAAAAUCAAUUAAAGAACUGUUUAUGCUAAGUUGUUUAGACUUUAUCAGCUAACUGUUUAGUUUUGAGCUUUUCUUUAAUGCACUUUUCAGUUAACAAGUCAACAUCAAUUUCUUUUGCUGUAAAAAAGCUUGAGGAAGGUGGCUUGAGAUUCGUCUUAAGUGUUUAUAGCCUCUUGCCUAUGCAGUCGGAGAGAUUGAGGUCUGCAGCGUAGAUCCUUCGGGGCUAAAUGCAUUUGUGCUAAGUUAUAGCAUUUUAUAGACAACUUGUUGACUAUGAUUUGUCUUGUAGCUUACUCGCUUAUGUUAUUUUACCUACGCUUAGGAUGUUGAUCUACAGAGCGAGAGU
rnacentral:rRNA from 1 species